rnacentral:rRNA from 1 species
UACGUAGGCAGCGAGCGUUGUUCGGAAUUAUUGGGCGUAAAGCGCGUGUAGGCGGUUCUUUAAGUCUGUUGUGAAAUCUCCCGGCUCAACUGGGAGGGGGCGGCGGAAACUGGAGUGCUAGAGUGUGGGAGAGGUAAGCGGAAUUCCUGGUGUAGCGGUGAAAUGCGUAGAUAUCAGGAGGAACACCUGUGGCGAAAGCGGCGCACUGGACCACAUCUGACGCUGAGGCGCGAAAGCUAGGGGAGCAAACAGG